rnacentral:rRNA from 1 species
GCAAGGUUAAAACUCAAAUGAAUUGACGGGGGCCCGCACAAGCGGUGGAGCAUGUGGUUUAAUUCGAUGCAACGCGAAGAACCUUACCUACUCUUGACAUCCAGCGAAUUUAGCAGAGAUGCUUUGGUGCCUUCGGGAACGCUGAGACAGGUGCUGCAUGGCUGUCGUCAGCUCGUGUUGUGAAAUGUUGGGUUAAGUCCCGCAACGAGCGCAACCCUUAUCCUUUGUUGCCAGCGAUUCGGUCGGGAACUCAAAGGAGACUGCCGGUGAUAAACCGGAGGAAGGUGGGGAUGACGUCAAGUCAUCAUGGCCCUUACGAGUAGGGCUACACACGUGCUACAAUGGCGCAUACAAAGAGAAGCGACCUCGCGAGAGCAAGCGGACCUCACAAAGUGCGUCGUAGUCCGGAUCGGAGUCUGCAACUCGACUCCGUGAAGUCGGAAUCGCUAGUAAUCGUGGAUCAGAAUGCCACGGUGAAUACGUUCCCGGGCCUUGUACACACCGCCCGUCACACCAUGGGAGUGGGUUGCAAAAGAAGUAGUUAGCUUAACCUUC